GAUGAACGCUGGCGGCGUGCCUAAUACAUGCAAGUCGAGCGAACAGACGAGGAGCUUGCUCCUUUGACGUUAGCGGCGGACGGGUGAGUAACACGUGGAUAACCUACCUAUAAGACUGGGAUCACUUUGGGAAACCGGAGCUAAUACCGGAUAAUAUAUUGAACCGCAUGGUUCAAUAGUGAAAGACGGUUUUGCUGUCAAUUAUAGAUGGAUCCGCGCCGCAUUAGCUAGUUGGUAAGGUAACGGCUUACCAAGGCGACGAUGCGUAGCCGACCUGAGAGGGUGAUCGGCGACACUGGAACUGAGACACGGUCCAGACUCCUACGGGAGGCAGCAGUAGGGAAUCUUCCGCAAUGGGCGAAAGCCUGACGGAGCAACGCCGCGUGAGUGAUGAAGGUCUUCGGAGCGUAAAACUCUGUUAUUAGGGAAGAACAGAUGUGUAAGUAACUAUACACGUCUUGACGGUACCUAAUCAGAAAGCCACGGCUAACUACGUG
rnacentral:rRNA from 1 species